rnacentral:rRNA from 1 species
AACGAACGCUGGCGGCAGGCCUAACACAUGCAAGUCGAGCGCUACCUUCGGGUGGAGCGGCGGACGGGUUAGUAACGCGUGGGAACGUACCCAGAUCUAAGGAAUAGCCACUGGAAACGGUGAGUAAUACCUUAUACGCCCUUCGGGGGAAAGAUUUAUCGGAUUUGGAUCGGCCCGCGUUAGAUUAGAUAGUUGGUGGGGUAAUGGCCUACCAAGUCUACGAUCUAUAGCUGGUUUUAGAGGAUGAUCAGCAACACUGGGACUGAGACACGGCCCAG